rnacentral:misc_RNA from 1 species
AGGUAUGAGGACUUGCGGGUUUGCUGAUUUGGGGAUGAGCCUUUGGAGCUCUGACC